UAGAGCUCAUCUAAAACCUAAGAUGGCGGCUUUCGUACUGAGAGGGUGAGUACUGCCGGCUUACUAGGUUUGGAAAGCAGCCAAUGAACAAAUCUGAGGAAAGUACAGAAACUCGCCAACUUUUGUUUUGUGG
ensembl:misc_RNA